rnacentral:tRNA from 1 species
GCCUGGGUGGCUCAGUCAGUCGAGCGUCUGACUUCGGCUCAGUCCGUGGGUUCAAGCCCCACGUCGGGCU